rnacentral:lncRNA from 15 species
CCACCAACUCAGAGGGACAGAGCUUAGGCCUGCCUUUUUUGCACCCCUGAUGUCCUCACUGGAGCACAUUGAAGCAAUCUAUAAACUCCAGAGGAACAGAGCUCAGGUCUUUCUCUGCAACUGAAGACCUCUCUCUACGAAGGUGUGGUGGGGAUGAGCUGCUGGUGGAUUUUUUAUUUUGUUUAUCUUCUGGUAGGAUCUCCUCAUUUUCCACGUCCAGAAGUUCAAAAGGGACGGAUUUCAGGUCUGCUUUUGUAGCAGUCCUGAUAUCCAGGGAGGGUCCUGGUGCUGCAUCAAUGUCUCUGACGAUGUGGUCCUUCUUGACAUCAUUAUUUUCCUCCACAUCCACCAACUCCGAGGGACAGAGCUUAGGCCUGCCUUUGUUGCACCCCUGAUGUCCUCACUGGAGCACAUUGAAGCAAUCUAUAAACUCCGGAGGAACAGAGCUCAGGUCUUUCUCUGCAACUGAAGACCUUUCUCUGUGAAGGUGUGGUGGGGACGAGCUGCUGGUGGAUUUUUUAUUUUGUUUAUCUUCUGGUAGGAUUUCCUAAUUUUUCACGUCCAGAAGUUCAAAAGGGACGGAUUUCAGGUCUGCUUUUGUAUCAGUCCUGAUAUCCAGGGAGGGUCCUGGUGCUGCAUCAAUGUCUCUGACGAUGUGGUCCUUCUUGACAUCAUCAUUUUCCUCCACAUCCACCAACUCCAGAGGGACAGAGCUCAGGCCUGCCUUUGUUGCACACCUGAUCACUAGAGCUGACUGAAGCAGUGGAAACUGUCUCUUGAAGACAAGUAGAACCAGAUUUAAAAUCACUGCUGUCUGACUUGGCAAUCUCCUCCAAAUCCUGCUGUUCAGUCACUUUUUUGGGGGGUUCCAUAUGAACAGGCCUUUUCACACCGCCUUUAGCUUCGUAGCUUGGGAGGGUCCUGUUGCUGCAUCAAUAUCUCUGACGAUGUGGUCCUUCCUGACAUCAUAAUUUUCCUCCACAUCCACCAACUCAGAGGGACAGAGCUCAGGCCUGCCUUUUUUGCACCCCUGAUGUCCUCACUGGAGCACAUUGAAGCAGUAAGAAAUGUCUCUUUUUUUUUUUUUAAUUUCAAAGUCAUCUGUAUUGCAAAAAGGGGGUUACAAUUCAGAUGUGACUUAUAGAUAUAUAUAUAUAUAUAUGUAACAGUAUAUA